CUGAAAAUAAGAAACUAAAAAUUUUAGCUUUUUCUCUCUCAAAAACAUUUUUAGUGCUUAAUUACUUUUUUACCCCUCUAAUAACAUAGUAUUUUUCUUUUUUUUUCUUGGUGCUUAAUUACAAUUGUGUUAAAAUCAUUAAUUAAAAAUAAAAAAUAUUUUUUAAAAUACUAAUUACAAAUAUUUAAAAUAUAGUUAAUAUAUUCUAAUUAAAUUUUAUAAAUAAUUAAUAUUUAUUACUUAAAAAUAUUUACAAUUUAUAUUUCAUAUAUUAAAAUAUUAACAAGUUAUAAUAAAUUUUUUAUAUUAUUACUAAAAUAUAAUUGUAAUACCCAAUUUUAAACCCGGACCCAAAUAAAUAAGCAUCAAAAAAUAAAACAACAGCCCAAAUACAUUUGGCCCAAUAAGGCCCAAGUCAAUAAAGCCCAAACUAUUAAUCCUAGCCCAAUUACAGAGUGGCCCAAAAAGUUCAGCAGAAACCCUAGGCAGUUUGCCCAGCGCCACACACGUCCUCACGCCGCAGCAACCGUCCCAUUGCUCCACGUUCUUGCUCGCACGUCCAGUAGCCUCGCACAACGCAAGUUUUCCCCACACACAUGCAGCAAACGAUCAAUAAUAGCAGAAAAUAUGGCAAAAAUGUAAGUGGGGAGAGUGUUUUUGAGGGUUUUGUUUUUUGGAUUCGGCUAUAAAAAGGCCAAUCAAUCUCUGUAAUGGGGUUAGAAAAUUUUUGUACCGAAAUUUAAGAGAAAGUACAAAAGAAAAAGAAAUAGAAAAGAAAAAAGUUUUUGAAGGUGAUUAUUUUGUUUUUUUUCUCUUUAUUUUUACUGUUUUUUUUUGACGUUCUUCUUUGUUUUUUAAAGCAAAUAAACGAAUAGGGGGAGAAAGGAGGCUUACCUGGUGUCACCGGAGCGUCGUCGGAGGCCAAGGGACGACUUAGCGGCGGUGAAUCUUUGACGGUGGCGACGUGUGGGGGGUGCUAAGAAAAAACCUAGCAGAGAACCCCCCUUUUUCCCCUCUGUUCUUUAAAGAAAAUGAAAUAAAGAUAUUUUUAAAGGAAAUUUUUUUUCUUAUUUUUUUUAAAUAUUAACGAAAGGUGGUGCCGUUUAAUGGCCAUUGAUUUGUUUUUUUAUUCAAAUGGUUGAUUUUCGAAACUGGUCCUUUCUUUUUACAGUGCUUUUAAAUUAAAUUAUUUAUUUCUUAUAAAUUUGGCCACAUGUUUUAUAACUGUUUCAAUUUAACCUGUGUUGCAGUGCAGUGUUUUAGUGGAAGGGAUUAAUUUCUAUUUUGGUCCCCCACUGUUAAUUGCGUGUUCUAAUUGGUCCAUUUGUAUUUUAUUAUUUUCAAACUUACCCUUUUUUUUAAAUUAAGGUUUAAAUUAGUCCUUUUGUCAUUUUUCGUUGUUAUUGUAUUAUUUGUUAUUAUUAUUAUUAUAUUUACAUAUAUACUCGCCUAUGUAUUUUAUAAUACAUAUGUAUUUUAAAUGUUUUAACUACAUAUACAUAUUUUAUUAUUCUAUUACUAUUCUAUUUUCAUACUUGUUGUAUAUAUGUAUAUAUCUAUAUUUUGUAAUACUUAUACGGUUUCCCAAUUUUAUAAUUUUUAUGUUUAUACAAUUAUUUUUAUAACAUGUACAUAUAUAUUUUCGUACUCUUUUCAAGGCUAUUAUAAAUAUUUUCCAUGUUUUUAUAUUUACUAAUACAUUAUACUUAUACAUUCUUUUUUAAAUGCGUUAUUAUUUUAUAUGUAUUUUAUCAUUGCUUUUUAUGACUUACGUUUUUUCUCUCUCAUAUCCAUAUACAUAUUUGCUAAAAUUGUUUAUAUAUUAUGCUUAUGUAUAUACAUAAUUUAAAUUAAAAUAUUUGUUCCAUAUCGCAUUGACAUUUUUAACGUAUUUUUCAAAUACAUUUUGUUUUUGUCAAAAUAUUAAAAUCGUUUUUUAUGAUUUAAAGGUUUUCAAAAUAAUGAACGAUAUUCAAAGUUAGGGAUUUUCGAGGAAAAUUGAGCCCUAACGUAUUGGGUUCUGGUUUUCUUUGUUAAUUCCAAAUAACCAAGAAUAUGUUAUUUAAAAUAUAUAAGUAAAAAUCAUUUUUGGGAACUUAAUUUGUUAUGUCCUAACGUAUUGGGCAUGACAUAAUUGCUUCCUCGAAAUGAAGAUUUACUUAUAAAGCAAAAGUAAUAUUCAAAAUUCGGGAAUUUUGAGAAAUUGUACCCUAACGUAUUGGGUCUCAAUUUCUUCGCAUGACUUGAAUAAUUGACUAUCCUUUUCAGAUUUCAAUAUUUGAGUUUUUUAAAAAAAUCUUUUAAAUUUUUGACACCAAGACAUUAAAUAAUCAAUUUGGUAUCGAUUUUUGGGGCGUUACGAGGGUGCUAACCCUUCUGCGUGCGUAACUGACUCCCGAACCUAUUUUCUCAAAUUUCGUAGGCCAAAAUUAUUUUAGGUGAACCGAUCACACCUCGAUAAAGGAUCGGUGGCGACUCUAAUUUUUGUUUGUUUAAAAGUCGAUAACUAAAUUUUUGUUUUCAAAAAAAUGGUUUCGACAGCUUGGCGACUCCACUGGGGACUUCGAGAGUCGAGCCAUAAAUUGAUUAUUUGGUGUCUUUUUGUCGAAAAUUAAAGUUUUUUUUAAAUCAUAAUUUGCCUUUGCAUUCAUUGAUUCUCAUUGUUUGCUUGUUUGGCUUAAGUCUAUUAUCUUAUUUGCAUUUUGCAUCUCAUAACGUCUGUCAUUUUUACCCCUUUAAGUGGGAGUGAGAAGCUACUCCUUAGUGAGGUUUUCACCUCCGUGCAGGAUAGUGGAUCACUUUCGGGAUACAUCUGUACUUAUGUCUUCGUGAGAUUUUCAUCUCCGUGCAGCCAUAGGGAAAUGUAUUCCCCUGAACCGAACUCGGUCUAUAUGAUCCUAUAAUGGGUGAGGAUCGAAGAAUCUGCUGGUUCGGGUACCUUUGCUCUUAACCUUAGUAGAUACCUAAUUAGGAGUUUUACUAUUUCUUGGUUGUAUUGUAUUUAAUUGAUACUGACUUUUUGUGUUUUACUUUGAUUGCAUAACAUUUCAAUUACAUGGCAUCUCAUUUUAGAAAGGCGUUGGUUCGUAUUCAAUUACUAGAUAGAAAGCUUAUCAUGAAAAAAGGGUUUCUUGAUAAAGUGGAAGAUAAUGCGGCUGUCCGAACUUGGGCUGAGAUGACGCAGAGCGAAAAAGGUGAUAGUUUGGCUGAGGGGUACGUAUCAGAAUUAUGGGACUUCACCCGUGUUAGCGUAACCCAGAACAACUUGCAAGAGUUGAAGGAGAUUUGGGAUCAAUGGAAUGAUGAGAUUAGACAGUUAUUCUUUUCAAAUUACGGGGAUUUACCUUAUUUACUUGAUAUGAAGGUAGAUAAGCGUCUGUUUCAAGCUCUUGCCCAGUUUUGGAACCCGGCCUACAGUUGCUUCACAUUUGGGAAUGUCGAUUUGGUGCCUACGAUAGAAGAAUACAUGGCUUUACUUUGGUGUUCGAAGAUUCUAGUGGAUAAGGUCUACUCGAAAGCUAUAAAUGCACCGACCUUUUUGAAGAGGUUGAUGAAUAUAACAGGGAUGAGUGAGCAGUGGGUCACAGCUCGGAUCAAGCAAAAGGAAGAUAGCAAGUGUAUUCCCUGGAAACGAGGCAGUCACUGACUUAUUUGAUCGGCUUGAAAAGAGAGUUACACUAGUGACGGAAAUCUUGGCAGAAACCUUCUGGUCAUUGAAUGCGUGCCGGAGAGCGGGAGAAGGUAGAUUCAUUGGAUGUGCGCAGCUCUUACUUGCGUGGUUCCAUAGUCACUUUUGGAAGGUCAAUAAGGUUUCGUAUCGGGUAUUCUCUGACAAUUAUUCACCAUUGAAAGAAAUAGUGGCUACACCGAGGAGGGAUGACAUCUCGGAAAAGAAAUGGAUGGUUAUUUUUCAGAAUUUGCAGGAGGGGGAUAUCAAGUGGAGAGCUCCGUGGUUGCUUCCAGACGGGAUCCUAUAUCGAUGUGGCCAUUUUGAUUGGGUUCCUUUGAUUAGGAUUUGGGGAGCCGUUGGGUAUGCACUAUUGCUAGUACUAAGGCAAUACAGGUCAAGACAGUUCGUGCCUGCAACUCAGGGAUUGGCCGAGUGUGAAUUCUCGUACAGGGGCGAUGGUUACAAGAGGAGAGUUCGUGAGAUGGUCAGUGCAUGGAAUCAGACUCACCGAAUGAAGGGAUUAGCUGUGGGUCCGAUGACAACUCUCGAGUAUGGCGAAUGGUGGGCUAAGAGGAUUAACGAUAACAUUCCUGGGCCGGGUUCAGAAAAUAGUCAAUCAAUAGAGGAGUAUUUGCGUGUUGUCUCUACUGAGCUGGAAAUCAUAAAGCAAGACUUUGAAAGGAAAAAUGCAGAAUUAGAGAAGAAAAUAGAGCAAAUAAAGGAGGAAAAGGUGAAUUUGAAACUGGAUGUGGAUGUUCAGAAGAUCGAGGCUAAUAAGCUAAGGAAGGGAAAGAAUAAGGCUGAAGAAGAAUUAAAUAGCUUGAAGACGGAUUAUAAAAAGCUACGUCUGUCGAUGAGAAUUGCAGGGCUUGGAAAAACUUCAGAACAGUGGCGUGAAGAAAUUCGAGAAGAAAGAAAUAGGUUAGACUGGUGGGAAAGAAAAUUUCGAGAAGUGCAAGCUCGAAAUGAAGCAUUAGAAAGGAGCUUGUCAGAGAGCCAAAAGGAAAAAAGAGACCAAAAGACAGGGUGGUUGAGUUAGAAGGGUCUCUUCGUCAAUACAGAAGUCGAAAUUCUGUAGUAGAGCUAAAGGCAAGCUUAAGCAAGAUUGAAGAGAUAAAGGGUAAGAUAGAAGAGUUGGAAGCAGCAUUACGAAGUUGUGAGGUUCGGAUUGAGCAUCUAGAGGCAAAGGAAGGUCGUCAGAAUGAGCAACUUCAUUAUUUCCAAGAUCAAGUCAGAAAUAGGGAUCGCGUUAUGGGAGAAGCUGUGGUGCAGAUUCGAGAGGUAGUAGAUCACUUACAAACUUUGGCCGUACAAGCUGACACAUUGAGCGUAAAGUAUGAGCUAGAGUCAGAUCAAGGACAAGAGUUAGCAUCGUUGCUUAAAAAGAUCAAGGUCUUAAGUAUUAGGGCAAAGCCAUAUUUGUAACCCAUUCUAUGUAAAGAAAUUUAUUUUCUAAUAAAGUUUUUUCUGAAAGUAAUUGAAAUUAGAAUUAACGCCUUUUAUGUAUUCAUUUUUCAUACAUCGCAUUGCAUGCAUUUAAAAAUUAUCAAAGGGUUCUGAUUAAAUCAAAAUCAUUCCUUAGUUAAUCUGGAAUCUAACCAGCCAACUCAGCACCAUUACGGUACACGAGCAAAAUCAAGAAGUAUGGAUCAAAGAUUAGAAAAGAUUGAGCAAUUCCAGAAAGAAAUGCAGGAUCAAAUUCAGCAGCAAAUGCAGGAGCAGUUCGAGAAGAUUUAGCAGAAAAUGAUGGAUAAAAUGGCAGAAUCCCAAGGAAGCAUGAUGACCCAGUUAACUCAAUUCUUGACUGGUGGAAAGGAUAAAGGAAAGGGCCCCAUGGCCAAUGUUGAGGAGGAAGGUGAUGACGGACUCCUAUAUCCUCCCGGCUUCACUCCUCCAUAUGUGUUGCCCCAAGCGGAAGUGCACCCGCGUAAAUCUUCUGUUACGAUUAGGCCUCAACAAUUUCAGGCCGAUGCUUCAAGGUCGAUGAAUUUCCAGGUCAGAUCAGGCUCCAAUCCUGAGAAUAAUCCUGCCAAUCCUAUUGUUCCUAAUUUCGAUGAAGUAGUUGGAAAAGAGAAAACAAAAGAGGAAUUACCAAAGCAAUUAGAAGAAAGAUGUAAGUGGAUUGAGGAGAAAUUCAAAGCGAUGGAAACUACUGAAAGAUGCCAUGGGAUUGAUGCUAAGGAUUUAAGUUUGGUACCAGAUUUAGUGCUCCCUUACAAGUUUAAAAUGCCGAAUUUCGAGAAGUAUAAUUGGACCACUUGCCCUGAAGCCCACAUUACUAUGUUUUGUAUGCGAAUGACUGGGUAUGUCAAUAAUGACCAGUUAUUGAUACACUGUUUUCAGGAUAGCCUCACGGGGGCAGCGUCUAAAUGGUAUAAUCAAUUAAGCCGUGCUAGGAUCAACUCUUGGAGGGAUUUAGCACAGGCUUUUAUAAAACAGUAUAGUCAUGUGGCGGAAAUGGUUCCUAAUAGGAUUACUUUGCAGAACAUGGAGAAAAAGUUGAAUGAAGGUUUUAGACAGUACGCUCAGAGGUGAAGGGAGGUGGCCGUGUAGGUCCAACCACCGCUCCUUGAAAGAGAAAUGACGAUGCUCUUUGUAAAUACGCUGAAGGCCCCCUUCAUCACACACAUGUUAGGCAGUGCCACGAAAAAUUUUGCUGACAUAGUCAUGAGUGGUGAGAUGAUUGAAAGUGCUGUAAAGAGCGGGAAGAUUGAUGUUGGAGAGAACAACAGAAGGCAAAACUCAAAGAAAAAAGAAAGUGAGGUGAACAAUGUGAAUACAUACAACAAGUCAAUUACGGUGAAUUAGCCCAGGAAGGUAGUGGCAGGUCAACAGGGUUCAUCUAAGCAGGAAUCUGGUGUGAGGCCAAAUACUGAGAGGCCCCAGUUCACACCCAUCUCUAUGUCAUGCAAAGAGUUGUAUCAGAAUCUAUUUAACGCGCACGUUGUUGCCCCAUUUUAUUUGACUCCUUUACAGCCUCCAUAUCCUAAAUGGUAUGAUGCAAAUGCACAAUGCGAUUACCAUGCAGGAGUUACGGAGCACUCCAUAAAGCAUUGUACUUCUUUUAAAAAGCUUGUUGAGAAGCUCAUUAAGAUGGGCGUUGUCAAGUUAGAUGAUUCAUCAGGUACAGAAAAUCCAUUACCCAAUCAUGCUGAUGCUGGGGUAAACAUGGUGGGUGAAGGUACAGGGAAGAAGGUCAAGGAGAAUAUUGUUGAGGUAAAGAUCCCUUUGAAGAGGGUGUGAAAAGAAAUAGUAGGAAGAGGUUUAAUUGUUUUGGAUUUAGUGGGGGGUUGCAAGACCCAAAAUUAUUGUGAGUUCCAUCAUGAGAUGGGACAUGAAAUUCAAAGAUGUGAGAAGUUUAGAGCUCUGAUCCAGAGCAUGAUGGAUAAUGGAGAAAUAGAGUUUUUUGAAGAGGUGGAAGGAAAAGAAAGUAUAUGCACAUCGGAGUCAGAGACGAGGAUUCCAAAGGUUAAUCAUCCUGUGAUUAUCAUUUCGCACCCUAAGGUUACUGAAGUUAGGGCACAGGUGACACCGAAGAUUGUUAUUCAAAAGCCGACGAAGUUUUCGUAUAAGGAUAGCAAGAAUGUCCCCUGGAAUUAUGAGUGCGAGGUAACAGUUUCAGGGAAGGAAACUUCAAUUAGUGUUGUGAAAGAAAACCAAAAGACAUGUUCUUAUAUGAAUACUGAGGAGUACUACAGUCGAAUAAAUGCUCAAGCAGAAUCGGUAGAGGGAAAGGUCCUUGCGGCAGAGCAAAAAGAGAGGAGGGUUGAAUUAAGGCCAUUGAUUAAAGAGCCAAUAAAGGAAGAAGAGGCCACUGAAUUCUUAAAAUUUUUGAAACACAGUGAGUAUAGCGUGGUAGAAUAGCUACAUAAGCAACCAGAUCGUAUAUCUGUGUUGGUUUUGCUCAUGAAUUCAGAGUUACAUCGAAAUGCGCUGAUGAAGGCUUUAAAUAAAGCAUACGUGGCAAGUGAUAUUUCUGUCAACCAAUUGGGUCGGUUGGUCAACAAUAUAAGUGCUGAUAAUUUUAUCUUCGUCAACGAUGACGAAAUACCAUCUGGAGGUAUGGGGUCCACUAAAGCUCUGCACAUUACUGCUCGGUGUAAAGGAAGCAUGGUGUCAGGAGUUUUGAUUGAUAAUGGGUCUACAUUGAAUGUACUGCCCUUAUCUACUCUCAAUAGACUACCUGUGGAUAGCUCACAUAUGAAAACGUGUCAAAAUGUGGUGAGGGCAUGCGAUGGAACAGAAAAGAAAGUUCUGGGGAGAAUUGAGAUACCAUUGCUGAUUGGCCCAAAUAUUUAUGAAGUAGAUUUCAUUGUAAUGGAUAUCAAGCCUUCAUAUAACUGUUUAUUGGGGAGACCUUGGAUACAUUCGGCAGGGGCUGUGCCUUCAUCGCUGCAUCAGAAGUUAAAAUUAGUGUCAGAAGGACGGUUAGUGACAAUAAAUGCCGAGGAAGGUAUUAUUGCAUCAAUAACCAGCAAUACGCCAUACGUGGAGACGGAUGAGGAGAUGAUGGAAUGUUCUUUCUGGACUUUGGAAUUCGUAAAUGCAACAUUUAUUACUGAAGGGAAUAGAAUUCCAGUACCGAAGAUAUCCAGGUCUACAAGAAUGGGCCUUCAAUUAAUGGUGGGAAAAGGAGCUGUACCGGGAAAAGGAUUGGGAAGAUAUUUGCAAGGAGGAGUUGAAGUACCAGUGAUGAAAGAAAAGUUUGAUCGUUUUGGUCUGGGCUAUAGACCAGAUGUAAAACAAAGAAGAAAGGAAAUGGAGAGAAGACAGGAGAGAAGAAGGGCACGCUUGAGUGGAAAUGAAGUUAGGUGGGAGCCUAUGGCUUUUCCUCAUGUAUCCAAGACUUUCGUAUCAGGAGGGUUUAUGUAACACCCCUUACCCGUAUUCAACUCCGGAAUAGGGUAUGAGGUAUUACUAGAACACUUACACAUGUAAACGUAUCAAACCGAGUUACAAAAUUUCAUUCAAAUUUAAACUCUUCAAAUUUUUAACAUGCUUUUAUAAUUCUUUACAACAUAUCCUCAAAAUAUUAUAUUCAUAACAAAUAGGACCUACGAGACCCGAUACUUACUCAUGUAAUUCAAAGCUUCAUUUCCAUUUUAUUCAAUUCACAAUCUUUCAUGUUCAUAAUUCAAAUCAAUUUCUCAAUCCAAUAUAUAUAUAUUUCAAUACCACACUUUCAUACUAUGAAACUUUAUUUUCCCAUAUGAGCUUAAACCAUGAUCAUCACAUACCAAAGACAAAUGUUCUUUGACAUUUCCAUCACAUAGACCGAAUUAAUCAAUGCAACUCAAUGAUAUAAUCACCCAUAUAUCAUUAUUAUCACAUAUAUAUAUGUCAUGACUAAAUUUCUUAAACAUUUGAUCAAUUGUUUUUCAAUACCGCAAUAGUUCCUUCAGUACCAAUAUGUAUUUACCAUUCAAUUUAACAUUUACCGAUUAUAAUCGGGCAUAUGACCAUUAUACACAAUUCUUUCAUACAUUUUAUUGUCCUCCUCCUCCUCUCCAUUCCACAUCCUUUAUGUAUAAAACAUGCUUAAAUAACAUUAUACAUAAUUUCACUUUUCACUUAUAUUUAAAUUCAAAGCUGUCUAUUUGAGUUAGAGUCACUAAAUCAUUUUUAUCUAAAGCUACAGAGCUCCAAAUUAAGAUUCUUUAAUUUUCCUUGAAACUAUACUCACAUGUGUUCUUACCAUAAAAUUUUAAGAAUUUUUGAUUUGGCCAAUUAGUACAUUUUAUUCUUUAAAGUCACCCCUUUUUCACUGCUCAACAUAUCUGACCUCUCUUCACUAAAAAUGAAUUAUCUCAUUGUACAAAACUUGGAUGAUAUUUACGUUUGUUCUUUUUGAAAAUAGACUCAUUAAGGAUUCUAAGCAUAUAAAUUAUAACUCAUAAUAAUUUUUUUACAAUUUUUAAUUAUUUUUCAAAGUUAGAACAGGGGAUUCCGAAAUCAAUCCGACCUUGCCUCACUAAAAUUAAAAUAUCUCAAAAUUUAUAACUCUUUUGCUUUCUCUGUUUCUUUUAUGUAAACAUAGACUCCUUAAGAUUUCAUUUCAUAUCUUAUUCACUCUCUAAUUCAAUUUCCACCAUUUUUGGUGAUUUUUCAAAGUCACACUAUUGUUACUGUCCAAAACUGUUUUGUUGCUAAUUCUACUUUUUCAUAAUUUCACUUUUUCACUUUUAAUCACUAUUCAAUUCAAAAUUCACUUUUCCAUUUUCAAGUCAAUAUUCAAUUCAAUUCCACACAUAUAUUCAUUAUUCAAUUACACUUAAUCGUUACAUGAUCUCAUGUAUUUUCAUUUAGUCAAUUUCCCGUUGAACACUCGGAAUAUACACGGAUACGUAGAGAAUUAGCACAUAAGUGCCACACUGAUAUGUAGCCGAAGCUACCACUGAAAUGUAGCCGAAGCUAUCACUGAUCAAUAACAUUGGAAAUGUCCACGGGCCUGCUCACACAAGGUGUCAGGUGUCUGCAACACAUGCUAGAUCACCCAGCACCCGGGACUCACUGUAACACUGUAACACUGAUCUCUAGUGACAUGUCACUUGUAUCCACUUCUAUUCCUAAGUUCAACCGGGAAUUUACACUUAACACUUUAUUUUCAACACUUUAUCACUUGAAUAAUUCAUGAACAAUUUUCCGUCCACAUUCAAUAUUGAUUCACAUAUCAAAUAAAAUUCACAAUUUAUAAAAGUAUAUUACUAUUAUUUACAUAUAACUUACUUUGAUGCAACAAUAUAAAAAUUUAGCAAUUUAGUCUUGAAUCUUUUCUUUUCUCCGGUCAAUGUCGAUUCCACUUCUUUCUUGAUCUACAAUAACACAUUUGACUUAUUUAGUACUCAAAUUUAUCAAAACAGUCCUUGACUCAAAAUUUGGAAAAAUUAUAAUUUUGCCCCUAAAUUUUGCAUAUUUACACUUUUGCCCCAAAGCUCGUAAAUUAAACUUCAUCCCUUAUUCUUAUGUAUUAUGACAUGCUGAACAUUUUUCCCUUCUAUGGCAACAUCAAAUUCUCACUCUAACACUUACUUAUGAACAUUUAGUAUUUUUAUCGAUUAUGUCGUUUUACUCGUUUUUACUCAAAAUCGCUUAGCAAAAGUUGCUUAACAUAAUUUCUAGCUUCAUAUUCUACCAUAAAACAUCAAAAUAAACACAUUUCAGAUAUGGGUAUUUUUCCAAAUAUAAACCCUAGAUUAAAUUAUUGCUAGAAUAAGCAAAAUCAAGUUACCGGGACUCCAAAAACGUAAAGAACAUUAAAAACGGGGCUUAGAAUCACUUACUAUGGAGCUUGGAAGCUUGAAAAGCCUAACAAUGGCUUCCACCCUUGCUGAUUUCGUCCAAAUGAAGAAGAUGAGCACAAUUUGCAAUCUUUUUCCCUUUUAAUUCAUUUUACUUACUAGAUUACCAAAUUGCCCCUAACUUAAAAUUUUCCUAUUUCACUUAUCUCAUGCCCAUUUUUGUCUACCAACUUAACCAACGGUCUAAUUACCAUAUAAGGACCUCCAAUUUAAAGUUUCAUAACAAUUGAACACCUCUAACAUGUAGAACUCAACUUUUGCACUUUUUACAAUUUUGUCCUUUUGACUAAAUUGAGUGCCCAAACGUUGAAAUUUUCGAACAAAAUUUUCAAAAAAUCAUUCUGUGAAAUCGUAGACCAUAAAAAUAUAAGAAAAAUAAAUUUUUCCUUGUCGGAUUUGUGAUCCCGAAACUACUGUUCUAACUAGGCCCAAAAUCGGGCUGUUACAGUUUAUUCAUCCUAAACGAAGAGUGCUUAAAGUGAAAGGCGUUGAAGAAUUGCUUGGAGAUGUCCACAUCAAUGCUCUAGACACAGUUGAAAGAGAGACUUGGCCAGAGAUUCGCCCUUACGAGCCUAGAAGUGAUCUGAACAAUUGGACUGCGGAAGAGAUUCCUGUAGUUUUUAGAGCUUGUUCAGAGUAAAUAUGCAGAACAUCCUUGUUGUUUUUUACUUAAAAUAUAAUGUCUUUAUGGAUUAGGCACAUGUUGAAUGUUAUAAUUUCAAUAAAUACACUUUUUCAUAUGCAUUUUUGAGCCAGCAUUCUUUUAUUCUUUUUCGAGUAAUUAUUAUUUUAUUCUUUUUUCAACAUCAUUCUUUUAUUCAUUUCAUAAUCAUAUUUUGUUCAUAAAUUCAUAUAUUCUUUGUAUAUUCUUUGGCACCUGCCAUAGGUCCCUAGAUAUCAAUGAUAUGAAUGAAGCUGCUUUAGACUCAGAAUCACCUUUUGAACAAGACAUGUGUUUAGAGGGAUCACAGGAUUUUGAAGAUGACGUGGACUGUGAUGUAUCUCCGGACUUAUUGAGAAUGGUAGAAUAGGAAGAUAAGCAAAUCUUACCUCAUAAAGAAUCAUUGGAGAUUGUAAGUCUAGAGGAGGCAAAAGAGGUAAAGAUCGGAACUGACAUUUCCACCAAGACAAGGCAAAACCUCAUUGAAUUACUCUGGGAAUUCAAAGAUGUCUUUGCAAGGUCAUAUCAAGAUAUGCCUGGGUUAAGCACUGAUAUUGUGGUGCACUGUCUUCCCAUAAAAGAAAAUUGCAAGCCAGUUCAGCAGAAGCUUAGAAGAAUGAGGCCUGACAUUGUGCUAAAGAUAAAAGAAGAAGUCAAGAAGCAGUUUAAUGUUGGGUUCUUGCAAGAAGUUAAGUAUUAAGAAUGGGUAGCUAAUGUUGUCCCUGUUCCUAAGAAAGAUGAGAAGGUGUGAAUGUGUAUGGAUUAUAUGGAUUUGAACAGGGCCAGUCCAAAAGAUAAUUUUCCGUUACCUCACAUUGAUGCUUUGGUAGACAAUACUGCAGGCUAUUUAUUGUUUUCUUUCAUAGACAGUUUUUCUGGAUAUAAUCAAAUAAAGAUGCAUCCAUAAGAUAUGAGAAAGACCACAUUUAUCACUUUAUGAGGAACGUUCUGUUAUAAAGUGAUGCCCUUUGGAUUAAAGAAUGUGGGGGCAACUUAUCAAAGAGCUAUGGUAACUUUAUUUCAUGACAUGAUGCACAAAGAGAUUGAGGUUUAUGUUGACGAUAUGAUCGCGAAAUCCAGAACGGAAGAGGAGCAUGUUCAAGUUCUGCGAAAAUUAUUUUUGAGACUAAGAAAUUUCCAGCUCAAGCUUAAUCCAACAAAGUGCACCUUUGGGGCCAGAUCGGGGAAGUUGUUGGGCUUUAUAGGCAGUGGGAAAGGGAUUGAAGUUGACCUAGACAAAGUUAGGGCAAUACGAGAUUUGCCUCUACCAUACACUCAGAAAGAAGUACGGGGUUUUUUAGGAAGACUGAAUUAUAUUUCUCGGUUUAUUUCACAACUAACUGAGAAAUGUGAUCCCAUAUUCCGUCUUCUAAAGAAGCAUAAUCCGGGCAUAUGGGAUGAAGAAUGCCAGAAGGCUUUUGAUAAAAUAAAACAAUAUUUGUCUAAUUCUCCAGUGCUAUCACCACCUAAUCCGGAUAGGCCAUUAAUAAUGUAUUUAACAGUAUUUGAAAAUUCCAUGGGGUGCGUGUUAGGCCAACAUGAUGAGACAGGGAGAAAAGAAAGGGCAAUAUACUAUCUCAGUAAGAAGUUCACUGAUUGUGAAGCGAGAUAUUCGUCUAUUGAGAAGUUGUGUUGUGCUCUGGUUUGAACAACUCGAAGAUUACGGCAAUAUAUGUUGUAUCAUACAACUUGGCUGAUUUCAAAUUUAGACCAUUUAAAGUAUAUGAUGGAGUCGAUUGCUUUGAAUGGGAGGAUGGCCAAAUGGCAGAUCUUGCUUUCUGAAUUUGACAUAGUGUAUAUGAGUCAGAAGGCUGUGAAAGGGAGUACAAUAGCUGACUUUUUAGCUAGCAGAGCCCUGGUGGAUUAUGAGCCUUUGAACUUUGAUUUCCCAAAUGAGGAUUUGAUGUACGUGGCAACCACUGAAGAAAAUCUCCAAAUGGAUCAGGUGUGGAAGUUAAAUUUUGAUGGAGCCUCAAAUGCUGUAGGUAAUGGAAUUGGGGCAGUCCUGAUAUCUCCAAGCGGAGAUCAUUAUCCUUUUGCUAGCAAACUGAAUUUUGAUUGCACUAAUAAUAUGGUAGAAUAUGAAGCGUGCGUUAUGGGCAUUCGUGCAGCCAUCGAGCGUAAAAUCAAAGUGUUAGAAGUAUAUGGGGAUUCCGUAUUGGUGAUAUACCAACUCAAAGGAAAAUGGGAGACAAGAGACCCUAAACUGAUCAAUUAUCGAAAUAUGGUUCUUAAAUUGAUAGACGAGUUUGAUGACAUUACUUUUUGUUAUCUUCCACGAGAUGAGAAUCAGAUGGCUGAUGCGUUGGCUACCUUAGCCUCUAUGAUCCGAGUGAAUAGGUUAGAGGGUAUGAAGCCUAUUCAGAUGAGUAUUUUUGAAACCCCGGCUCAUUGUUAUAAUGUUAAGGAAGAGGAAAAUGAUGACCAUCCUUGGUAUUUGAAUAUCUUGUGAUAUGUAAAGAAUCGUGAGUAUCCAGAUCAAGUAACGGAGAAUGAUAAGAGAGCACUGAGAAGAUUGGCUAUUGACUAUGUUUUAGAUGGAGAAAUCCUGUACAAAAAAGGGAAGGAUCAAGUACUGCUAAGAUGUGUGGAGCAGUGGAAGCUAGAAAAAUUCUAGAAGAAGUCCAUGAAGGUAUCUGUGGAAAACAUGCAAAUAGUUUCACAAUGGCCAAGCAGAUUAUGAGAUUUGGGUAUUAUUGGUCUACUUUGGAAAGAGAUUGCAUCAGUUAUGCUAAGAAGUGCCAUAAAUGUCAAAUUUAUGGCGAUAAAAUACAUGCACCUCCUUCACCUCUUCAUGUUAUGACUUCUCCAUGGCCUUUCUCUAUGUGGGGUAUGGACGUCAUUGGGCCAAUAUCGUCAAAGGCUUCAAACGGGCAUCGCUUCAUCUUUGUGGUUAUUGACUACUUUACCAAAUGGGUGGAAGCUGCUUCAUAUGCAAACGUCACGAAGUCAGCAGUUAGUAGAUUCUUGAAAAAAGAAAUCAUAUGUCGAUAUGGAAUGCCUGAGAGGAUCAUAUCUGAUAAUGCGCUGAAUUUGAACAAUAGUGCAAUAGCGGAGGUCUGCAGUCAAUUCAGGAUCAGACAUCAUAACUCGUCGCCAUACCGCCCAAAGAUGAAUGGCGCAGUAGAAGCAGUCAAUAAGAAUAUCAAGAAAAUCGUGGGAAAGAUGGCUGAGACUUACAAGGAUUGGCAUGAGAAAUUACCGUUCGCUCUCUUUGCUUAUAGAACGUCUAUCAGGACGUCGACUGGGGCAACACCUUUCUCUUUGGUUUAUGGCAUGGAAGCAGUUUUACCUAUUGAAAUAGAAAUUCCUUCUCUCCGGGUAUUAUCUGAGUUGAAAUUGGAUGAGGCAGAGUGGGUUCAAUCUCGUUAUGAUCAAUUGAACUUAAUAGAAGGGAAAAGGCUAAAGGCUGUUCGGCAUGGUCAGAUGUAUCAAAAGCGGAUGAUUAUAGCCUAUAACAAAAAGGUUCGUCUGAGAGAAUUUAAUGAGGGGGAGCUGGUGUUGAAAAGGAUCCUUCCUAUACAAAAGGAUUUCAGAGGAAAAUGGAUGCCAAAUUGGGAAGGUCCAUAUGUUGUAAAGAAAACCUUUUCAGGGGAAGCUUUGAUUUUGAGUGAGAUGGAUGGUAAAGAUUUGCCAAACCCUGUAAACUCGGAUGCGGUUAAGAAAUACUUUUCUUAAAAAAAAGGAGAGGCCAAUACGAAAACCCGUAAAGGGCGCUUUGAGACCAAAGGGGAUUUGAGUUGAAAACCCGAAAAGGGCGGCUCAAAUGCUGAUCAGGUGACGCAUCCGGUGAUCUUGCAAUGAUUGAAUCAAUGGGAAAGGAGACGCAACAUCUUGGGGCAUCGACAGAGUAUUGUAGAUCUUCUAAGCAUAUGUCGGAUUUAGAGUGGUCUUCAGGAGCAGAGAAGUUCAAACUGCGAUAUCUGGGGCACCUAGUCUUCUCAGUAUUUAUAUCUAGGAAUACUUUGUUCCUUUUCAAGAUUCAUGUUUCCAAUUUAUUCUUCUUUUCUUCUUACUAUUCUUUAUAAUCUACUCAUCUUGAGCUUUAUUCUCAAUGAAUUUCAUCUUAUCCAUUUCGAUAGUCUUGUUCAAGCAUUCGGACGAUAGAAUAAUACUACUUUUGUAAAGGAAAUUUUGCAUAUUACUUUGGAAAUUUCUAAAUAAUAUGGGAACCUGAAACAGGAUUAUUGUCUAGAACGCACCAGGCUUAAGGGUUGGAAAUUAGGGAAAGAAAAGUCUAAAUUGAGACUAUCCCUUCAUAUUUUGUUCUCAAAGUUAUUGAUUGAACAAAAUGGUAAGCAAUUAUCGCAGAGCAAUAGAAGCAAUUGUUCUUGGAGAAGAAUAUUCUUCAUUUGUGUAUGUGCAUUUGGUAUGACUCCCUAGAAAUGGUGAAAAUGACGAAGGAGCUUCACAUUCUGCAUCCUUGAAUUGUGAUAGUGGAGGAUUGAGAAAAUGUCAGAUCUUUUUACCCUUGGGUUAUCACGAGGGAAAGGUGAUACAAAUUUUGUGUCCCAGUGGAUCAAACUUGGAAGUUCAUAGUGGGGCAAUCUGAUCAAAUGAUUUUUGGAGAUGUUAGUCGAGUAGGGGACGUUGUAGUGCGUCAGUGGUACGGCUUUAAUGAAUUUUGAGUGAUGACGACAAGUAGGGUUAUUAUCAUAAAAUGACAUUCUACAUUUAUUCAAAUGUCAUUUCAUACAUGUCUAGUUAGGAACAUGUGAUUCAUUCUGAUCAUGACAUCCUAAUCAUUAGGCAUAAUUAAGUUCAUAAAUAUGAAUUAUACAGGUCAUGUUCCCCAGAGAACAAACCGAAGAAAUCAAUCAUAUCUCCCUGAGGUUGCAGUGAAGCGGAUUGACGUACGGAUCUUAUCUUUCUGAGGUUGCGAAGAGUAGAUCACAUCAAGUCUUAUCUCCCUGAAGUUGCAGUGGAGCAGACUGAAGACCUAAUCCUAUCUCCCUGGCAUUGUAGUGGAGCAGAUUGAAGCCACAACGGCAGAUCUUACUUCUCUGGCGGUGUAGUGGAGCCGAUUGAAGUCACAACGGCAGAUCUGGUUUCCCCGACAGCGUAAUUAAAAAGAUUGAAGCCACAACGGUGGAUCUUACUUCCCUGGCGGUACAGUGGAGCAGAUUGAAGUCACAACGGCAGAUCUAGUUUUCCCGACAGCGCAAUUAAAAAGAUUGAAGCCACGACGGCGGAUCUUACUUCCCUGGCAGUGUAGUGGAGCAGAUUAAAGUCACAACGGCGGAUCUGGUUUCCCCGACAUUGCAAUUAAAAAGAUUGAAGCCACAACGGCAGAUCUUACUUCCUUGGCGGUGCAUGGAGCAGAUUGAAGUCACAACGGCGGAUCUGGUUUCCCCGACAUUGUAAUUAAAAAGAUUGAAGCCACAACGGCAGAUCUUACUUCCCUGAUGGUGCAGUGGAACAGAUUGAAGCCACGGCGGCGGGUCUGGUUUCUCCGACAUUGCAAUUAAAAAGAUUGAAGCUACAAUGGCGAAUCUUAUUUCUUUGAUGGUGUAGUGGAACAGAUUGAAGCUACGAUGGCGAAUCUUGUUUCCCCGACAUUACACGAAGUGAAUUGAAUCACCAGAUUUUGUACUUCUGAGAAAUGCAUUAGGUUGGAAUGAGGCUACCUGAAGAAGAGGAGCGCCAAGGUUUAGCAUGGUCGGGCAAAAUUGGUUAUUUUUAAAGUCUUUGCUCUGUUCCCGUUACACGACAACGAGCAAAGAGGGGCAGCUGUAAUAUCCAAUUUUAAGCCCGGACCCAAAUAAAUAAGCAUCAAAAAAUAAAAAAAACGGCCCAAAUACAUUUGGCCCAAUAAGGCCCAAGUCAAUAAAGCCCAAACUAUUAAUCCUAGCCCAAUUACAGAGUGGCCCAAAAAGUUCAGCAGAAACCCUAAGCAGUUUGCCCAGCGCCACACACGUCCUCAUGCCGCAGAAACCGUCCCGUUGCUCCACGUUCUUGCUCGCACGUCCAGUAGCCUCGCACAAUGCACGUUUUCCCCACACACAUGCAGCAAACGAUCAAUAAUAGCAGAAAAUAUGGCAAAAAUGUGAGUGGGGGAGUGUUUUUGAGGGUUUUGUUUUUUGGAUUCGGCUAUAAAAAGGCCAAUCAAUCUCUGUAAUGGGGUUAGAAAAUUUUUGUACCGAAAUUUAAGAGAAAGUACAAAAGAAAAAGAAAUAGAAAAGAAAAAAGUUUUUGAAGGUGAUUAUUUUGUUUUUUUUCUCUUUAUUUUUACUGUUUUUUUUUGACGUUCUUCUUUGUUUUUUAAAGCAAAUAAACGAAUAGGGGGAGAAAGGAGGCUUACCUGGUGUCACCGGAGCGUCGUCGGAGGCCAAGGGACGACUUAGCGGCGGUGAAUCUUUGACGGUGGCGACGUGUGGGGGGUGCUAAGAAAAAACCUAGCAGAGAACCCCCCUUUUUCCCCUCUGUUCUUUAAAGAAAAUGAAAUAAAGAUAUUUUUAAAGGAAAUUUUUUUUCUUAUUUUUUUU
rnacentral:lncRNA from 1 species